AAAUAGCUAAAAUCCAAUUUUAUGGCAUAAUUAGAGCUUAAUAACACUCCAAGAAAAAUGGAAUAGUGAUCCAAGAAAGUAUACAAAGAAUUUAUAAGAGCUUUUGAAAAAACUGUAUUUCUUUUGUCAUUCUUUGUACAUAUUUAGUUGGGUUGAGUUGAGUUGAAUGCCUUUGUGCUAGUUUUUAUUUGUACUUUUGAGAGCUUAACUUUACAAACACUCAACUAUUAAAAGUUGUUUAUUGUUUGCACAAUUUAUCAUUGAUUUUAAGAGAUUUUUUAAGGUUUGGGACAGAAAAGCCUUAAGGGGAUUAGAGGUUCUAUCUUAGGGCCGUAAAAGAUAGGGAGUUGUAAAGUCAUACCUUAACCAUAACGGUAUUUUUCUCAACAGUGGAUUAGGGACGAAACUUAACAAAUAUAGCUAAGAGAUAGGA
rnacentral:lncRNA from 1 species